rnacentral:rRNA from 1 species
UACAGAGGUGGCAAGUGUUGUUCGGAAUUACUGGGCGUAAAGGGCGCGUAGGCGGCCAUCUAAGUCAGACGUGAAAUCCCCCGGCUUAACCUGGGAACUGCGUCUGAUACUGGAAGGCUUGAGUAUGGGAGAGGGAUGUAGAAUUCCAGGUGUAGCGGUGAAAUGCGUAGAUAUCUGGAGGAAUACCGGUGGCGAAGGCGGCAUCCUGGACCAUUACUGACGCUGAGGCGCGAAAGCUAGGGGAGCAAACGGG